ensembl:lncRNA
GGACGCACUGGCAUUACUUACUUUGAGGCAAACUGUACCUGGAUGUUUGCAGAGGACUGAUGGGAGCUGCUGUGUGGCCUUCAGGGAGAUGCAGACAUCCUUUGAGCACACUUGUAUCUUCACAGCACAUCCUGGGGUUUAACCCACGCCAGUGGGACUCAAGAAGGAGGACCAUACACCUAUCCAUGCCAUCAGCCCCUCAGCUGCAUAGGCUCCUGUCCCAGCUGGGCAUCAGGAAUGUGCUCGUGUGCUGUUCACACUCUGCUGGACCCUCGAACCAUAAGAACAACGCAUGGCCGGAUCCCUGUGUUCAGAUGCCCAGUUGAACUGAGAGGUAUUUCACUUAUGAGGACAAACGUUGGACGUAGAGGUAACAACUUAAGAAUGUGAAGUUUGUAUUACUGGGAAACUAUUCUCUGUACUCUGUUCUUCUCUGAAUUCCCAGGUUAAAAUCAAACAAUCAAAGCUGUGUAAGAGGAUCUCAUAAGGAUUCUAUUGAGUAGAUUUAAUUUAAUAAAAGCUACCAUUCCAUCUUAUUUAAAUUCUGAUUCUAACAACUGGUUAGAGGUCCAGGGGCACUGGACCUCUAAUUUCAGGUCCAAGGGCACUGAGAGCACACUGUACUGAUCCCUGCAAUUCUCCAUAUCCUUCUGUGAGUGACAGG